AGUGGGGUUUGCAUCUCUCCUGUCUGGUUCUGACAAAUGUUCCUGUGAGGUCUGAUAUGUUAAAAGCAAUGUUUCUAUCUGUGGUGUGGUAAUUAGAGUUUGGUGAGUUUAUACUUGAAGACUGGUGGGGUCCCAUAACAGUUAUGAUGCAAACAGAUCCAUUCUCUCCAAGAUGAGGCAUACUUUCAACAUCUACAGCUUCUCCUUCCCCUGGAUGAGAUACCUCACUUUGGUCCUCAUUGUCUACUACUUCCCCAGUCAUACUAGCAAAAGGACAUGUGUCUUAGGGUUUAGAGGCCACACCUGUGGCCAGCAUAUUAUCAGGAUGGCCUAUUGGCUCUAUACCAUUUACACCUGUGACUAUACCUUGUGAUGAAACUGCCAUUGGUGGACAACAAGAACCACAUUAAGGACACCCGUUGGACUUUUCUUACCAUGGAACUGUUGCUUAUUGCACUAUUUAUGGACUAUAGUGUUCUCCCUUCCAUCCGCGCUCAAUGCAGAUCGGAGCACUGCUGCUGCUAAUACCGGAUACCCCAGCAGGGAGAAGAUCCUUUCCGGUGGCUCAUACAGAUUGCAGCAUGACUUUUUAUAUUUGUACCAGUCGUGAUUUAUUGGAAUUAUUUUCAUUUUUAUACAAUAUCCUUUGUGCUGUCUUCUAUAACAUUUGAGUUGUUAUAUAAUUUGUUUGUGUAGGUAACCUACCAGGUUACCACAAGGAAGCUGCAUAGGAUAUUGCACUGAUCAGUGAAAUUAUAUACUUGUGUGCUGAUACAUACGUAUAAUUCUUGCA